GAUGAUUUUAACAAGAUAAUGAUGACAACAAAAAGUUGCUAUGAAAAAAAGUUGACUGACGCAGAGAGGUUGUUCCAAAGUGGUACGCGCUGUGGAGUUUCACUGUGGUACCAAUUCCGCGCUAAAAAAGUGAAAAGUAUGAACAAAACUGAAAUUAUUUUAUGCGAAGUAUUAGUUGUUGCGAAAAUGUUGCGUAAUUUGUCUUUUGUGGCUAGACAUCAUAGGACAAUUUCUACCGUUCAACGGUUGCGACAU